UACGGGGGGUGCAAGCGUUGUUCGGAAUCAUUGGGCGUAAAGCGCGUGUAGGCGGCUUAACAAGUCAGAUGUGAAAUCCCUGGGCUUAACCCAGGAAGUGCAUUUGAAACUGUUUGGCUUGAGUAAGGGAGAGGAAAGUGGAAUUCCUGGUGUAGAGGUGAAAUUCGUAGAUAUCAGGAGGAACACCGGUGGCGAAGGCGACUUUCUGGCCCUAUACUGACGCUGAGACGCGAAAGCGUGGGUAG
rnacentral:rRNA from 1 species